GGGGAUUUAGCUUAGUGGUAGAGCACUUGCCUAGCAAGCAUAAGGCCCUGGGUUCGGUCCCCAGCUCCG
rnacentral:tRNA from 1 species